rnacentral:rRNA from 1 species
GCAAGUCGAACGGUAACAGGAAAGAGCUUGCUUUUUUGCUGACGAGUGGCGCACGGGUGCGUAACGCGUAUACAAUCUACCUUUUACAGGGGAAUAGCCUUUAGAAAUGAAGAAUAAUACCCCAUAGUAAGUAAAUUUCGCAUGGAAAUUACUUUAAAGAUUUAUCGGUAAAAGAUGAGUAUGCGUUCUAUUAGCUAGAUGGUAAGGUAACGGCUUACCAUGGCAACGAUAGAUAGGGGCCCUGAGAGGGGGAUC